ACAGGCCCAAAACAAUACCAACGGCGUAAAGCACGACCAAAUAUUAGUCCACCUGUUAAAGACAAACCCCAACUAGGCUGUAAAAAGCCAUAAGCCCCAGCAACCAGCAACUCUAACAAAAGACAACUUCCACUCGUGAAAGUCAGGACACAAACUAAGAUUAGAUACCCUACUAUGCCUAACCAUAACACAACACCACACUACCACAUGUUCGCCAAAUAACUACGAGUUAAAACUUGAAAUUUAAAAGACUUGACGGUACUUCACACCAACCUAGAGGAGCCUGUUAAAUAAACCGACACCCCACGAUUAACCCAACCCCCACUAGCCCACAGUCUAUAUACCGCCGUCGCCAGCCUACCUUAUGAAAGAAACAAAGUAAGCCAAAUAGCCACACUAAAACGACAGGUCGAGGUGUAACUUAUGUGGGGGACAAAAUGGGCUACAUUUUCUAAUCAGAACACACGGAUAAGAUAUUGAAAUAAAAAACUGAAGGAGGAUUUAGCAGUACAUUAGAAACAAAAUAUCUAAUAGAAACUCGCAAUGAAGUGCGUACACACCGCCCGUCAUCCCUGACAACCCAACCCCUAUAUUCAUAAAAAUACCAUACAUCAAAA
rnacentral:rRNA from 1 species